rnacentral:rRNA from 1 species
GAGUUUGAUCCUGGCUCAGGAUGAACGCUGGCGGCGUGCUUAACACAUGCAAGUCGAGCGAAGCGCUUUACUUUGAUUUCUUCGGAUUGAAAGUGUUGCGACUGAGCGGCGGACGGGUGAGUAACGCGUGGGCAACCUGCCUCAUACAGGGGGAUAACAGUUAGAAAUGACUGCUAAUACCGCAUAAGACCACAGUACCGCAUGGUAUAGUGGUAAAAACUCCGGUGGUAUGAGAUGGGCCCCGCGUCUGAGUAGGUAGUUGGUGGGUAACGGCCUACCAAGCCGACGAUCAGUAGCCGACCUGAGAGGGUGACCGGCCACAUUGGGACUGAGACACGGGCCCAAACUCCUACGGGAGGCAGCAGUGGGGAAUAUUGCACAAUGGGGGGAACCCUGAACGAGCAAUGCCGCGUGAGUGAGGAAGGUCUUCGGAUCGUAAAGCUCUGUUGUAAGAGAAAAACGGCACUCAUAGGGAAUGAUGAGUGAGUGAUGGUACUCUUACCAGAAAGUC